GAUUUACUCCCUCCGUCCGGAAUUACUUGUCGCAAAAAUGGAUAGAAAUGGAUGUAUCUAUAACUAAAAUACAUCUAGAUACAUUCAUUCCUCGGACAAGUAUUUCCGAUCGGAGGGAGUACUUA
rfam:Hordeum vulgare subsp. vulgare, WGS project CAJW01000000 data, contig: morex_contig_2550137